AUGGGAACAGCACGGCCACGAAUCCGACUCGUCCGGCGGUGGACUCCGAGAUCGUGGUAGUGU
rfam:Halococcus hamelinensis 100A6 contig_5, whole genome shotgun sequence.